rnacentral:rRNA from 1 species
GACGAACGCUGGCGGCGUGCUUAACACAUGCAAGUCGAACGGAAAGGCCCUGCUUUUGUGGGGUGCUCGAGUGGCGAACGGGUGAGUAACACGUGAGUAACCUGCCCUUGACUUUGGGAUAACUUCAGGAAACUGGGGCUAAUACCGGAUAGGAGCUCCUGCUGCAUGGUGGGGGUUGGAAAGUUUCGGCGGUUGGGGAUGGACUCGCGGCUUAUCAGCUUGUUGGUGGGGUAGUGGCUUACCAAGGCUUUGACGGGUAGCCGGCCUGAGAGGGUGACCGGCGGCAUUGGGACGGAGAGAAGGACGAGACGCCGCCGGGAGGCAGCAGGGGGGGGGCGGGCGGCAGGGGCGGGGGCGUGAUGCCGCGACGCCGGGUGCGGGAGGACGGGCGGAGGGGUUUAAAAAGCAUUCGCCGGUGACGAAGCGGGAGUGACGGGAAUGGGUAAAGAAGCACCGGCUAACUUCGUG